CCUUCAGGGUAUCUGUUUUCCCCUCCCCUCAGUCUGGAAAGACAUGAGAGGAACACUCCUAGUGGAUGAUGGCGUGCCCUCUGACGAGAGUGGUAUCACAUUAUUUGUAGGGGUCACCUGUGGCUAAGUAAUGUCAUAACUAUAGAUUAUCUGUUGGGACCACUAUUGUUAGUACGGUCAUCGUCAUAGAUUGUAUCAUUGUUUAGCCAACUGGAAGUGGGCCUAAGCAAAUUGCUGUAUUUAUAUCUGAUCUA
rnacentral:lncRNA from 1 species